AGAUAAGGAAACUGAGGACCACAAAAAUGGCAUGAAAUAUACAAGGUCAUAUAGAUGGAGUAGUGGAAUUUGGAAGGAGCUAUUGGUGAUAACGUCAGAAUUAAGCAACAAGAAGGAAAUGAGGAAGACUGAAAACAUAUGAUGAGCAUGACUGUGACACAUAAAGCAAACGGAAAACUAGAGGCUGAAUGAUCUCACCAAAAGAGAACCCACUGAUGGCAAUAUCCAGCUGCCCUGAAAAGAGCAUGAAAUUGUCUUCUGGUCGUGAGAACUGACCAUUGUGGAAGAGUUUGUAUGCGCUUUGGGGAAACAGAGCAAAUGUCCACAGACAGAGUGAAACCAAGGUACUCCAAGGUACCACUGUACCUUUGAUUUAGAAACCUCAUCUCCCCUCAGCUAACACUGGAGAAGAUGAUGGCUGUUGUCUUAGCAAGCCUUGACACUGAAUGCUGAUAGGAGAUCAUAAAUGGACUGAGCCAGAGAGGAGCCCUUGAAAGUGAUGAAAGCUAAAUGCUGUUGUAAAAUUUGAGAUAAAAAAUGGAACUUUUUACAUACCCUUGAAGCAGAUGAGUCCACAUCCAUUGUGUGUUCUUCCAGGUGAAGGUCUAGGUACUGAGGUCUAGGUAAAUGAGAAUGCUUAAAAAAAAAAAAGCUGAGUGAAGAUCUAUCUGAGCGAAGCAGGUAGCCUCACAGGGAAUUGAAGAGAUAAUGAUUGCAAAGUUGUGAACUACUGGGUGUUUAGGUAGAACAUAAGCACUAAUAGUGCAUAAAUCUUGCACAGAGCAAUAAACAGGUUUACCAUCAGGGCCUGGCUUGGGUUUCUUAACAAGGAGGAUAGGAAUAGUCCACAGGGAGUCAAAGACAUCAGGUGGAAAACUUGGACUCUAUUCUGGACUCUCUCCAAGACAUGGAAAGUUGGAGAACCACCAGGGGAAACGUAAGUUUACAGAGGAGAUCAUGGCCUAACAGGUUGAGGAGAAAGUGCUCCACUGAGAGGGACUCAAGAGUUACCACAUGGGGAGACAAUCUGGGGAUGCUUUGAGGCCUCCUUGAGGAUCCUGACAACAUUUAGAGAUCCAAUAAAAGUACCAUCAGAAUCUGGUCUGCAUAUCAAAACUGAAUUAGAAGUUCCAGUAUCCAAUAAGCAACUGUAAAUUAUGUCACCAACUUUAAGGGAGAGGUAGAGACCGAAAUAGUUGAGGCAAAGACAUCAGGA